CAAUUUUUAUGGCGCAACCUUUUCUGGAUGGAUGCCAUACAAAGAUCUCUCUCUCUCCAAAUCACAUCUGCACCGAAAUAAUGGGAUCUGGGGCAAUUAUCAACAAAAAAUAAGCUAUCCGAUAUGCACCCCGCCAUCCGGCCUGCCAGCAUGGCCGACGCCGACGCCGCCGACGUCCCUCAAAUCUGGUAUUGGCUCCGCGUUUGCAGCACAACGCUAGCUGCAUCGACUCACUCCUAAGGAACCAAGUUGUGUAAUCCGCCGCGGCCGUCGAGUGCGCAAGGUGUCAGAGAUCAUUGAAAUAUACGCCGCCUUCAUCAACACCAGAUACAUACAUGAUCUGCUACCCCAUAAUCCAGCGGCAACAAUGGCUACAAGAUAUGCAUACGUAUCAUGAGUAUCUAGCUAAUGUUUUGCACGUUCUAAAUCUCCAUGGCUUGUCCUUAGUAGAACUAGUUCGUUUUGCCUUGUGUAUAUCAGCAGGCCGGCGGCCAGGAUUGUAUAGAUACAAUCGAUCAUUGGACUCCACUAUUGUUCAUGUUAGUGAAAUGUACUGAUUGUAGCCUAUGAUGACAA